CCUACGGGAGGCAGCAGUGGGGAAUCUUGCACAAUGGAGGAAACUCUGAUGCAGCGAUGCCGCGUGAGUGAAGAAGGCCCUUGGGUUGUAAAGCUCUUUCGUCGGGGAAGAAAAUGACUGUACCUGAAUAAGAAGGUCCGGCUAACUUCGUGCCAGCAGCCGCGGUAAUA
rnacentral:rRNA from 1 species